rnacentral:lncRNA from 1 species
CAGGGGAGGGUGGAGGAUGACUCAGGGCUGAGGCAAGUUGGGCCGUAUCACUUCCCAGCCUGUGGCCCCGGACAAGAUACAGAGCUCCCUGUGAGUCUUGGUGUUCUGCAUCUGCAGGUGGAGAUGAGAGGGAGGCUCCACAGCCAAGCAAGCACUUGGGUCUUUUGAAGCCAAGCACUGAGAAGUCUUUUGGAGCUGAAAUAAAUCUUCUGGUCAUUUGCCACCGGUCAGAGCAUCCCCUCCAGCAAGGGCAGGGUGGGACUAAAAUCCAGAGACAUCUGGGCAGUGUCCAAACAUCACACAAGCUCAGGGAACUGCAAACAUCUGCACUGGGCUCCCAUCGUGGGGCAGUCUGCCGUCCUGUCCCGCUCUCUCCUCCUUUUAUGCUUCUGUUCAUCUAACGAAGAACAAAACAGCACACAGAGAAGCAGAGAAGAUGGGCAGCAAAAGGACUCAACAGAUGUAAUACUGCCACGCUCAAGAGCCUGUGUGAAUUUUUGAGCUUCUUCGGGAGGCAACGGGUGGCUCCGGGGUAUCCCAGCAUCUUGCAGUAUGGUCAGAGUCUUGACUGAUACUUGACUCUGGAGGGAAGCUGACGUGGAAGAUCACGUGAGCCGGUGUGUUGGAGACCAGCGUGGACAAAAAGCUAGAUUUGGUCUCAGAAGACAAAACACACCAACAGUAAACAAAGGAGAAAAAAAAAACACCCAAAUUUUUGUUUCUUUUUAAUAUUAAAUUACAGGGAAAUGGGCCCAAAGCCUAGUGUGAUUUGACUGUCAUGGAAUUAUAAAAUUGUGACCACGCUCUAACAAUUAAAGGCUAUGUCAACGUGGAGAAGUGGAGAAUGUUGGAGGCACAGUUAACACUGGGAAUUUGACGCUUCAGCUAGUCUCCAAAAAGAAUGACAGGGAUCUAGUCUGCUGAGGGGAAAGGGUUGGAAGAGCAUUCCACACGGAAAGGAAUAGCAGUUUCUUAGAGCAGCAGGCAGCGCAGAGGGUGGCUCAUUUUACUGGAGGAAUUUUUACAAUGUUAAUUUCAUUGAUUUGUUUGCCUUUGAUUUAUUUUACUUCCUUCGGGUUGAAAAGUCUUUUCCCUCCUUUCUGCCAGUCUGGAUUCCAGAAUGCCAGCCUUAGGCUGCUGCCACCAGCGGAGUGUACUCGCUGGGACAACUGCACCGUCUGCUCUGGCAUCUGGCAUAUGGCAUCCUCCAGCUUUCUCCGUGUUUCUGUUUGUUUGUUUGCGUUUGGUUUUAGCCAAUCUAAGUAACGUAAUUUA